rnacentral:rRNA from 1 species
GAUGAACGCUAGCGGCAGGCCUAACACAUGCAAGUCGAGGGGCAGCACGUAAAAGAGUUUACUCUUUUUGGUGGCGACCGGCGGACGGGUGCGUAACGCGUAUGCAACCUGCCUGUUACAGGGGGAUAAUCCGAAGAAAUUUGGUCUAAUACCCCAUAAUAUUUGAUCAGGCAUCUGAUUGAGUUGAAAGCUACGGUGGAGGAUGGGCUCGCGAGACAUUAGCCAGUCGGCGGGGUAACGGCCCACCGAAGCGACGAUGUCUAGGGGUUCUGAGAGGAAGGGCCCCCACACUGGAACUGAGACACGGUCCAGACUCCUACGGGAGGCAGCAGUGAGGAAUAUUGGUCAAUGGGCGGAAGCCUGAACCAGCCAUGCCGCGUGAAGGAUAAGGUCCUAUGGACUGUCAACUUCUUUGGCGGGGGAGCAAUAAGGGGCACGGGUGCCCCGAUGAGAGUACCCCGCAAAAAAGCAUCGGCUAACUCCGUGCCAGCAGCCGCGGUAAUACGUAGGGAGCAAGCGUUAUCCGGAUUUAUUGGGUGUAAAGGGUGCGUAGACGGGAAGUCAAGUUAGUUGUGAAAUCCCUCGGCUCAACUGAGGAACUGCAACUAAAACUAACUUUCUUGAGUGCUGGAGAGGAAAGUGGAAUUCCUAGUGUAGCGGUGAAAUGCGUAGAUAUUAGGAGGAACACCAGUGGCGAAGGCGACUUUCUGGACAGUAACUGACGUUGAGGCACGAAAGUGUGGGGAGCAAACAGGAUUAGAUACCCUGGUAGUCCACACCGUAAACGAUGGAUACUAGGUGUAGGUGAUGAAUAAUCAUCUGUGCCGUCGCAAACGCAGUAAGUAUCCCACCUGGGGAGUACGGCCGCAAGGUUGAAACUCAAAGGAAUUGACGGGGGCCCGCACAAGCAGUGGAGUAUGUGGUUUAAUUCGACGCAACGCGAAGAACCUUACCAGGGCUUGACAUAUAGAUGAAAGUCUAAGAGAUUAGACCCCUCUUCGGAGCAUCUAUACAGGUGGUGCAUGGUUGUCGUCAGCUCGUGUCGUGAGAUGUUGGGUUAAGUCCCGCAACGAGCGCAACCCCUGUUCUUAGUUGCCAGCACGUUAAGGUGGGAACUCUAAGAAGACUGCCGGUGAUAAAUCGGAGGAAGGUGGGGACGACGUCAAAUCAUCAUGCCCUUUAUGUCUUGGGCUACACACGUACUACAAUGGCUGUAACAGAGAGAAGCAAAGCAGUGAUGCAGAGCGAAACUUUAAAAAGCAGUCUCAGUUCGGAUUGAAGGCUGAAAUUCGCCUUCAUGAAGCCGGAAUUGCUAGUAAUGGCAGGUCAGCAUACUGCCGUGAAUACGUUCCCGGGCCUUGUACACACCGCCCGUCACACCAUGAGAGUUGGGAAUACCCGAAGCCUGUGAGCUAACUUAUAGAGGCAGCAGUCGAAGGUAGAAUCAAUGAUUGGGGUGA